rnacentral:rRNA from 1 species
UACAGAGGGGGCAAGCGUUGUUCGGAAUUACUGGGCGUAAAGGGCGCGUAGGCGGCCCGCUAAGUCGAACGUGAAAUCCCUGGGCUCAACCCAGGAACUGCGUCCGAUACUGGCAGGCUUGAAUCCGGGAGAGGGAUGCGGAAUUCCAGGUGUAGCGGUGAAAUGCGUAGAUAUCGGGAGGAACAUCAGUGGCGAAGGCGACCCUCUGGACCAGCACUGACGCUGAGGCACGAAAGCGUGGGGAGCAAACAGG